AGUGAACGCUGGCGGUAGGCCUAACACAUGCAAGUCGAACGGCAGCACAGUAAGAGCUGGCUCUUACGUGUGGCGAGUGGCGGACGGUGGAGUAAUACAUCGGAAUCUACUUUUUCGUGGGGGAUAACGUAGGGAAACUUACGCUAAUACCGCAUACGACCUACGGGUGAGAGCAGGGGAUCGUCGGACCUUGCGCUAGUGAAUGAGCCGAUGUCGGAUUAGCUAGUUGGCGGGGUAAAGGCGCACAUAGGCGACGAUCGGUAGCUGGUCUGAGAGGAUGAUCAGACAGCCUGGAACUGAGACACGGCACAGACUCCUACGGGAGGACGCAGUGGGGACUCCUGCACAAUGGGGGAAAGCCUGAUACAGCCAUACCGCGUGGGUGAAGAAGGCCUUAGGGUUGUAAAGCCAUUUUGUUCGGAAAGAAAAGCAGCAGGUUAAUACCCCGCUGUUAUGACGGUACCCAAAGAAUAAGCACCGGCUAACUUCGUG
rnacentral:rRNA from 1 species